AGAGUUUGAUCCUGGCUCAGAAUCAACGCUGGCGGCGUGCCUAACACAUGCAAGUCGAACGCGAGAGGGGCUUCGGCCCCAAUUGAGUGGCGAACGGGUGAGUAAUGCGUGGGUGACCUACCUUCGAGUGGGGGAUAACGUCCCGAAAGGGACGCUAAUACCGCAUAACAUCCUCUUUUUGUAACAGAGGGAGAUCAAAGCCGGGGAUCGCAAGACCUGGCGCUUGAUGAGGGGCCCGCGUCUGAUUAGCUAGUUGGUGAGGUAAUGGCCCACCAAGGCAACGAUCAGUAUCCGGCCUGAGAGGGCGGACGGACACACUGGGACUGAGACACGGCCCAGACUCCUACGGGAGGCAGCAGUGGGGAAUUGUUCGCAAUGGGCGCAAGCCUGACGACGCAACGCCGCGUGGAGGAUGAAGGUCUUCGGAUUGUAAACUCCUGUUGCCCGGGACGAAUGGCUCCGACCUAACACGUCGGAGUGUGACGGUACCGGGUGAGGAAGCCCCGGCUAACUCUGUGCCAGCAGCCGC
rnacentral:rRNA from 1 species